rnacentral:rRNA from 1 species
AGAUGAGCUCGCGUUCUAUCAGCUAGUUGGUGGGGUAAAAGCCUACCAAGGCUACGACGGAUAGCUGGUCUGAGAGGACGAUCAGCCACACUGGGACUGAGACACGGCCCAGACUCCUACGGGAGGCUGCAGCAGGGAAUAUUGUGCAAUGAGCGAAAGCUUGACGCAGCGACACCGCGUGUGGGAUGACGGUUCUAGGAUUGUAAACCACUUUCAGGAGGGAAGAAAAUGACGGUACCU